CGUAACGUGGGUAGAUCACCUUAUAAUGGUGCGUUACGGCGUAAGAUCUACCAUAACAAAUUUUGAUCUUGUAUUUUUUAGCUUUGUUAAUUCAAAUGCAGAAAAAUUCCAAGAUCACGAUUUGCUCUACUUUUUUUUUCUUUUACAUGUUAUGUUUUUCAUUGUUAAUAAACCAUUUCUUUCAGGAGGAUUCAGAUUUGGAAUCGAACACCCAACAAGGAAUUAGGAAAGGAACCAGGCAUCAACCAAAAAUAUUGCGUGCACCUGAACGUUGACCAAACGUUUCCUUUGAACUUUACCCUUCCACUAACAUCCAAAUUCCCGUGAUGCCUAGGCCUGAAAGAAUGUAGAGGUCUCUAUGUACUUUCAUAGGUGUCCAACUAAUCUUCCUUUCCCAUCCCUCAGCUGUCGCAAGGACGUGGCCAGGACAGCACUGGACCGUUGGAGGAUUGCGUCAAUCUUGUCUAAGAGUCAGAGAUUAGUCCCAAAUCUUUGUGCUUUGAUAACGGACAGGAAAGAUGCAACCCUCAUAACAGCGAUCCAGGGCUGUACCACCUACGAAUUUGUGCGACUUGCUUAAUGCUAAUGCUAAUGCUAAUUUGCCAAACGAAUAACUUUUUUCACAAGCGUCGGAUCACUUUGCGGUCUUCGGCAAAUCCUAGGCUAUCUUCAACGUCACUAGUUACAUGAUUUUAGACAAAAGAAUUCAUUUUAAAUUUAAAUUUUAAAUUUUAUCCAUACAACGUUGACCCACUCUAAUGUUCAUAGCCAUCGCUAGACCCAGAAACGGUUCAAAUCCUGUUUUCUUUCCUUCCAUCCGUCACUGCACAGUGUUAAUCUUUCAUAUAACACCUACGCAGUCAAGCGAACUGUGCGGCAUUAACUUCAUAAUAAUUAUCACACAAGCCUAUCACCUCGCCUGGCAUCUACGCACCAUUGUGUGAACCCUCUGCCCACCAACACUCCGACAUCCGCAUGAAUUUGUGCUGACGCAGAGGUAUAUUCGGUCUGCUGUAGAUUCAAACGAUUGCAAUCAUCACUUCCUUCCCCUUCCCCACAUUUACCUGCAACCUGACGGGGCAGGGGCCAUUGUCGCCUAAAAAAUAGAAGAUCACCAACGCUCACACACUGAAGAUGCCUGCUAGUACCCGGCAUAUAUCCCAUUGAUUCCUUACGUGAGUGUAGCUGGUCUCGCGCUACUGGAGUAGCAUCCACAGGCGGUAAAUCAAUCUCAAGUUCAUGCUCAAGCUUAUUUGUCUGGAAAUUCCCCUAGAAGUUCCUCCGCAAGUCCUGGAGGUUUAUCUAAGGAGUCCCAUAGGGAAUUGCUCAAGAAGUUCCAUUUGAAUUUUGUUUAGGAAUUCUAUUAAGAAUUCCUCAAGAAAUUCCUCCUGGAGUACUAAUAGACGUUCCUCUGGGAAUUUUUCAAGAAAUUUCAACGGACAAGUGCAUUUCAAUUUAUCAGAAUCUCCUCAAUCCAAAAAUGAAUUUGAACUCAGAAUUUUAUGAUUCUACGUGCCUUUGAACUAUGUAUUUUUAAACGUAUUUAAUUUUUAUUUUACAUGUAGCAUCGCCCUGAAGGGUUAAAGUGACGAUACCGCAAGAAACCAAUAUCAACGUCAAACAAACACCAGUUCGUAGACAUAACAAUGCCAGCUCAACGUGAUUCAUUGUUCGAAAAUUUGAUUGCGUUCAUGUGACUAAUCGAAUACAAUUUUGGCACAGUGCUUUCUUCUCUUUUACCAUCAAUGGGUCGUCCAUUAAUUACGUCAGACAAUGUUCACAAUUUCUCGAUAUCACUUUACAUCCUAAAAGAUUUUUGUAUGAAAAUCGUGAUGUUUUUGUAAAAGCGUGAACUUUUUGUAAUUCUCUCCUCGCUCCGCGCAUAAAUUGAAACGUACUUUUGUUAAUGGGUGAUCUUUAUGUCGUAAGCCAUUAUUGUCGCGCUUAUCUUUUAUUAGAGUCCUGCGGCGGUCGUACGCUCGCAAGGCAUACCGCCGCAUGACAGUCGCAAGGCAAAACAAAAGAAAAAGUGUUCCCGCCAAAAACAAAAGCACGUGGGUUUCGCGAAGUGACAGAUCUUUUUGAAUGUAUUUGUGACGAACGGCAAGAGUAGCUCAGUGGAAUGGAUGUUCUUGCUGUCAAACCCCAUAUAGUGGAAUUAGAUACUUUUAAAUCUGGUGACGCUGUUAUGAUUAGUGACUGUCGCGCUGAUAUCAGAAGCCAGAGGCAGAUAAUCGCCAUAUUCUGAUUUUUCUUGAGAGGCAUAAUAAC